rnacentral:rRNA from 1 species
CCCUUAGAUGUUCUGGGCCGCACGCGCGCUACACUGACGAAUGCAACGAGCUUAUAACCUUGGCCGAAAGGUCUGGGUAAUCUCCAAAUUUCGUCGUGAUGGGGAUAGAUUAUUGCAAUUAUUAAUCUUCAACGAGGAAUGCCUAGUAAGCGCAAGUCAUCAGCUUGCGUUGAUUACGUCCCUGCCCUUUGUACACACCGCCCGUCGCUCCUACCGAUUGAAUGGUCCGGUGAAGCGCUCGGACCGCGGCCUCUUGACGGUUUUCCGUCGAUUGGCUGUGGGAAGUUCGUUAAACCUUAUCAUUUAGAGGAAGUAAAAGUCGUANCA